UGCUACAUCUAAGAAUAUGCAAACGUUGUUAAUUGUUGUUAAAUAUUUCUUUUAACUGUUGUUAAUUGUUGUUGUUGCUUACUUUUCUUUUAUGUUUCAGUCAAGAUUUGAAGAAUCCAGCAAACAUAGUUGGGUUGCUCUCUUUUUGACAAGUGACUCCCCUGAGAAGCUGGAGGAUGAGGCAAUAGAAAUUGAUCUAGAAAAUGAAGGAAAUGUUGAAGGUGACCCAAAAAAAGAUGGAAAUGAAUCUAAAGGUGAAGAUGAUGCACAAAGUUCGCCAAAUCAACCUCAACUCUCGCCUCUCUUACUCUUAAUCCACAAUCACAACAAGCUCCAAGUCAAUCAAAAAGUUCUAGUUCACAAGGAUCAAUGGCUUCCCAUCCAUUAUUUUCAAAUUUACAACGUGCAAGGUCUUCCCAAGUUUCGGCUUCUCAAGCCCGUUCACAAGUUCAAAGACCUCCUAAACCUUCGGCUUGUAAGUGUGAAAAAGGAAAGGGAAAGGCAAAAGUUUGAAACUUGAAUGAUGCAAAUUUAAUGCUGAUAAAAGUCCCUUCCAACGAACAUUUGUUAAUCAGCGAGGCAAGGAAGUCAUUAAACAGACCGCAUGUUGGGCAAGUCCUUGAUAAUCUCAUCUACAAUUGCAGUCUGACUUUUUGUGGGAAGGCUUUGGCUUAGUAAGCCAAAAAGUGCUCUUCAAACUGCACUUGUAUUGGUUGUGAUCACCCAGAAUUGCAGUUACUGGGACUUUCUUUAUGUUACACUUUCUGUGUGUUUGCGACUUUACUAAAACACAUCUACCAACUUUUGUUAUUAAAAAAAUUUCAUAGUUUGAUUGGUAGGUUCUACCAAAACCAGAGUUAUUAGAAUCUUUUUUAUGCUUGGGUUUGCGGUACUGGCAUCGGAAUUGAUGUGCUCUUAG